AGACGAACCGGCCGAACGUUAUUCGGAAUCACUGGGCUUAAAGAGUGCGUAGGCGGCCUUGUAGGUGGGGUGUGAAAUCCCUCGGCUCAACCGAGGAACUGCGCUUCAAACCACAAGGCUUGAGGGAGAUAGAGGUGAGCGGAACUGAUGGUGGAGCGGUGAAAUGCGUUGAUAUCAUCAGGAACACCGGUGGCGAAAGCGGCUUACUGGGUCUCUUCUGACGCUGAGGCACGAAAGCUAGGGUAGCGAACGGGAUUAGAAACCCCGGUAGUCC
rnacentral:rRNA from 1 species